rnacentral:rRNA from 1 species
UGAACGCUAGCUACAGGCUUAACACAUGCAAGUCGAGGGGCAGCAUUUUAGUUUGCUUGCAAACUGAAGAUGGCGACCGGCGCACGGGUGAGUAACACGUAUCCAACCUACCGAUAACUCCGGAAUAGCCUUUCGAAAGAAAGAUUAAUACCGGAUAGCAUACGAAUAUCGCAUGAUAUUUUUAUUAAAGAAUUUCGGUUAUCGAUGGGGAUGCGUUCCAUUAGUUUGUUGGCGGGGUAACGGCCCACCAAGACUACGAUGGAUAGGGGUUCUGAGAGGAAGGUCCCCCACAUUGGAACUGAGACACGGUCCAAACUCCUACGGGAGGCAGCAGUGAGGAAUAUUGGUCAAUGGGCGAGAGCCUGAACCAGCCAAGUAGCGUGAAGGAUGAAGGCUCUAUGGGUCGUAAACUUCUUUUAUAUGGGAAUAAAGUUUUCCACGUGUGGAAUUUUGUAUGUACCAUAUGAAUAAGGAUCGGCUAACUCCGUGCCAGCAGCCGCGGUAAUACGGAGGAUCCGAGCGUUAUCCGGAUUUAUUGGGUUUAAAGGGAGCGUAGGUGGAUUGUUAAGUCAGUUGUGAAAGUUUGCGGCUCAACCGUAAAAUUGCAGUUGAAACUGGCAGUCUUGAGUACAGUAGAGGUGGGCGGAAUUCGUGGUGUAGCGGUGAAAUGCUUAGAUAUCACGAAGAACUCCGAUUGCGAAGGCAGCUCACUAGACUGUCACUGACACUGAUGCUCGAAAGUGUGGGUAUCAAACAGGAUUAGAUACCCUGGUAGUCCACACAGUAAACGAUGAAUACUCGCUGUUUGCGAUAUACAGUAAGCGGCCAAGCGAAAGCAUUAAGUAUUCCACCUGGGGAGUGCGCCGGCAACGGUGAAACUCAAAGGAAUUGACGGGGGCCCGCACAAGCGGAGGAACAUGUGGUUUAAUUCGAUGAUACGCGAGGAACCUUACCCGGGCUUAAAUUGCAACAGAAUAUAUUGGAAACAGUAUAGCCGUAAGGCUGUUGUGAAGGUGCUGCAUGGUUGUCGUCAGCUCGUGCCGUGAGGUGUCGGCUUAAGUGCCAUAACGAGCGCAACCCUUAUCUUUAGUUACUAACAGGUUAUGCUGAGGACUCUAGAGAGACUGCCGUCGUAAGAUGUGAGGAAGGUGGGGAUGACGUCAAAUCAGCACGGCCCUUACGUCCGGGGCUACACAUGUGUUACAAUGGGGGGUACAGAAGGCGGCUACCUGGUGACAGGAUGCUAAUCCCAAAAACCUCUCUCAGUUCGGAUCGAAGUCUGCAACCCGACUUCGUGAAGCUGGAUUCGCUAGUAAUCGCGCAUCAGCCAUGGCGCGGUGAAUACGUUCCCGGGCCUUGUACACACCGCCCGUCAAGCCAUGAAAGCCGGGGGUACCUGAAGUACGUAACCGCAAGGAGCGUCCUAGGGUAAAACUGGUAAUUGGGGC